UUCUAGAAGUUUUCUCUGAACAUGAGCAC
rnacentral:piRNA from 1 species